UACAGAGGGGGCGAGCGUUGUUCGGAAUUACUGGGCGUAAAGGGCGCGUAGGCGGCCUUCUAAGUCGAACGUGAAAUCCCCGGGCUCAACCCGGGAACUGCGUCCGAUACUGGGAGGCUUGAAUCCGGGAGAGGGAUGUGGAAUUCCAGGUGUAGCGGUGAAAUGCGUAGAUAUCUGGAGGAACACCGGUGGCGAAGGCGGCAUCCUGGACCAUUACUGACACUGAAAAGCGAAAGCCAGGGGAGCAAACGGG
rnacentral:rRNA from 1 species